CUCUGCAUCACAUACACAAACACACUCUGCAUCACAUACACAAACUGCAUUCAUACACACACACACUGCACUCAUACACACACACACACUGCACUCAUACACACACACACUGCAUUCAUACACACACUGCAUUCAUACACACACACUGCACUCAUACACACACACACUGCAUUCAUACACACACACACACACUGUACUCAUACACACACACACACUGCAUUCAUACACACACACACACAC